rnacentral:rRNA from 1 species
GACGAACGCUGGCGGCAGGCCUAACACAUGCAAGUCGAACGCCCUAGCAAUAGGGAGUGGCAGACGGGUGAGUAACGCGUGGGAACGUGCCUUUCGGUUCGGAUUAACUCAGGGAAACUUGAGCUAAUACCGGAUACGCCCUUCGGGGGAAAGAUUUAUUGCCGAAAGAUCGGCCCGCGUCCGAUUAGCUAGUUGGUGAGGUAAAGGCUCACCAAGGCGACGAUCGGUAGCUGGUCUGAGAGGAUGAUCAGCCACACUGGGACUGAGACACGGCCCAGACUCCUAAGGGAGGAAGCAGUGGGGAAUAUUGGACAAUGGGCGCAAGCCUGAUCCAGCCAUGCCGCGUGAGUGAUGAAGGCCCUAGGGUUGUAAAGCUCUUUCGCCAGGGACGAUAAUGACGGUACCUGGAUAAGAAGCCCCGGCUAACUUCGUGCCAGCCGCCGCGGUAA